rnacentral:rRNA from 1 species
GUAGGGGGGGCGAACGUUGCUCAGAAUUACUGGGCGUAAAGGGUGUGUAGGUGGCUGAGCAAGUCGUUGAUGAAAUCCCGAGGCUUACCCUCGGAACUGUCUUCGAAACUGCUCAGCUUGAGGAUAGUUGAGGAGAACGGAAUUCCCGGUGGAGCGGUGAAAUGCGUAGAUAUCGGGAGGAACACCAGAGGCGAAGGCGGUUCUCUGGGCUAUUCCUGACACUGAAACACGAAAGCUAGGGGAGCAAACGGGAUUAGAUACCCCGGUAGUCCUAGCCGUAAACGAUGGGCACUAGAUGUUUCUACUUUGAUGUAGGGGUGUCGAAGCUAACGCGUUAAGUGCCCCGCCUGGGGAGUACGGUCGCAAAGGCUG